rnacentral:rRNA from 1 species
GACGAACGCUGGCGGCGUGCUUAACACAUGCAAGUCGAACGAUGAACCUGGAGCUUGCUCCGGUGGAUUAGUGGCGAACGGGUGAGUAACACGUGAGUAACCUGCCCUCGACUCUGGGAUAACUGCGGGAAACUGUAGCUAAUACCGGAUACGACCCUCGGCGGCAUCGCCAGGGGGUGGAAAGAAUUUCGGUCAAGGAUGGACUCGCGGCCUAUCAGCUAGUUGGUGAGGUAACGGCUCACCAAGGCGACGACGGGUAGCCGGCCUGAGAGGGUGACCGGCCACACUGGGACUGAGACACGGCCCAGACUCCUACGGGAGGCAGCAGUGGGGAAUAUUGCACAAUGGGCGCAAGCCUGAUGCAGCAACGCCGCGUGAGGGAUGACGGCCUUCGGGUUGUAAACCUCUUUUAGAAGGGAAGAAGCGAAAGUGACGGUACCUGCAGAAAAAGCACCGGCAAACUACGUGCCAGCCGCCGCUGUAA